CUUAGGUUCUCUGUAAUAUCCCUCGCUUUUAAAAAUUAUUAAUAAAGAUUUAUAUGUAAAUUGGAGGACCUAUAUGUAAAUAUAGAAAUUACAAGGACUAAACUGCUAAGUUGCAAAAAAAAAAAAAAAAAAAAAAGGGAAAACCGAAAAUUCGGUAUUAUCCCACCGCCUCCCACGCACUCUGUUUCUUCCAGAAACAGAGAGAGCGGUGGGGCGUGAGGAGAAGAAGGAGAGUGGUAGAAGAAGAGAGGAAGAAGAGGGAGAAGAGAAGAAGAAGAAGAAGAAGAAGAAGAAGAAGAGGGAAAAGAAGAGAGGAGGAAGAAGAGGGAGUAGAGAAGAAGAAGAAGGAGAAGAAGAAGAAGAGGAGGUGGCUGCAGCGAGGGCUGCAGCGAGAAGCUGUGGGGCGUGGGGAGAAGAAGAGAGGAAGAAGAGGGAGAAGAGAAGAAGAAGAAGAAGAAGAAGAGAAGAGGAUAGCUGCGGCAAGGCUGCAGCGAGGAGGUGUGGGGUUGGGGAGGAAAAGGGAAGAGGAGAAGAAGAGGGAAAAGAGAGGGAAGAGGGAGAGGAGCGAGAGGUGGCAGCAGCUAGGGCUGCAGCACCUCUGUUUCCUGCAGGUGGAAACAGAGGAGAGGUGUGGGGCGUUCGAAGAGGAGAAGAAGAAGAAGAGGAAGAGAAGAGGAAGAGGAAGCAGGGGAAGAGGUUGUGAUACCUCUGUUUCCUGCAGAGGAAACAGAGGAGAGGGUGUGGGUGACGUCGGGGAGAAGAAGGGGAGGAAGGAGAAGAAGAGAAGAAGAAGAAAGGAAGGAAAAGGAAGAGGAGAAGGGAAGAAAGUAGCUGCGGCUGCGGUUGUGGCAGCUGCAGCUGUGGCAGGGAAAGAAGAAGAGAAAGGAAGAAGGGGAGGAGAGGAAGAAGAGUAGGGGCUGCGGCUGCGGCGAUGGCAGCUGCAGUUGGAAGAGAAGAAGGAGAGGAAGAUGAGCAGGGGAGGAAGAAAAGGCUGUGGCCGUGGCUGAGGCUGCGACUGCAGCAUGCAACUGGGAAAGAAGAGAAGGAAAGGAAGAAGAAGAGAAAGGAAGAAGGGAAGGAGAGGAAGAAGAGAAGGGGCUGCGGCUGCGGCGAUGGCAGCUGCAGUUGGAAGAGAAGAAGGAGAGGAAGAUGAGCAGGGGAGGAAGAAAAGGCUGUGGCCGUGGCUGAGGCUGCGACUGCAGCAUGCAACUGGGAAAGAAGAGAAGGAAAGGAAGAAGAAGAGAAAGGAAGAAGGGAAGGAGAGGAAGAAGAGAAGGGGCUACGGCUGCGGCGAUGGCAGCUGCAGUUGGAAGAGAAGAAGGAGAGGAAGAUGAGCAGGGGAGGAAGAAGAGGCUGCGAGUGUGGUGGCUGCGGCCGUGGCUGCGACUCCGGCUGCGGCUGCAACGUUGGCUGCGGUAGCUGCGGCAGCGGUGGUGGCUGCAGUAGCUGCAGUAGCUGCUUUUGGGAAAGAGAAAGAGUAGGAACGAGAGAAGGGAAGAAGGAAAUAGUGCAGUGGAAGGGGGCUGCGGUUGUGACCGCAGUUGCGGUCGUGGCUGCGAUUGUGGCAGCGGCAGCGACGGCGGCUGUGGCAGCUGCGUUUGGGAAAGAAAAAAAGAAGGAAUGAGAGUAAGAGAGAGCAGGUGACUGUGCCUCGAUGUUCGACACGUGAUGUAGUUGCGAAGAAAGGAAGAAAACGGGAGCACAAAACGAAACAGAGAGAGGACACGGAGAAAAAGUAGAAGGAUUUGGGCUGGCACCUUCUUUGGAAUUUCGGAUCGAAAUCAUUGAAAGGCAAGUUUUCUGAUUCUUCCUAUUGCAAGUUUCCCGCUUGUUUCAAUCCUUUCUAUUGCAAGUUCCCUGUUCGUUUCUCCUAUAAUCGCUCUGAUAUGUCUUAUUGCAAGUUCCCUGAUCGUUUCUCCUAUAAUUGCUCUGAUAUGUCUUAUUGCAAGUAUCCUGAUCUUUCUUCACUGCCAAUUUUAUCUCCACAUUUGCUUUGAAUAUGAGGAACUUUGGAUUGUACUAGCCUUGCAUUUGUUAUAUCUCCUGUUUACAUGUAACGAUUCGAAUCUGUGCAACUUUUGAGAUUCUGAUCUUUUGAUACCGAACUGCCUAUAAGACUUUGUGGUAACUCUGAUUUGUUCAAAACUGAUUUCAUUGGAAACUAGACUCGUAGACCUUUCUUUGAUAUAUGGAUUGAAAGAUCUGAAAUCCAAACACCUGCCCAGUUAUCUGUUGAAUCUGACAUUAUGAAUUCUGCCAACAGAGAUUUUGUUCUAUGACUCUUGCUUACCAAAUUAUUUGUAACUCUCUCUGUUGGACAGUUCAAUUCAUAUGAAGUCUGUCUUAUCUGAAAGUAUUAUCCAAUGAUUAUUUCUGAGUAAAUUGGAGCACGAUUGAUAGUUUGAAUCAUUUGUUCAAUGUGCCUUCUGUAUUCUGCCAGAAAUCGAGCUUUGGUCGAUUUCUCAUAUUCUGGUUUCAUUCCUUUGGAAAUUGAUAUCCUUUAGCCUUCUUAUUCAAUUGAGCUUUAUAUUACUACUUUGAAUUCUUGUAUGCUCUUGUCCUUAAAAUUAUUGCAUUCUUGAAAACUGUUGUGUAACGUUUAUGCUAUAUCGUAUUGACUCAUAUAGGCACAUGUAUAUCCUAUUGUUCCGCAUUUGCUUUCGAUAUGUGCCUAUUCCAGUUUCAUUCCUUUGGACAUUGAAUUCAUCAAAUCUUCUUAUUGAAUUGAGUUAUUUGUGAUUGCUUGGAUUCCAUAUGUGCCCUUGCUUUCAAUUCCCUUCAAAUCUGAAUAUACUUGUGAAAGAUUAUUGCUUACUUCGGAUUGACUCGUAAAGGCACAUGUACGUUUGUUGUUCCGCGUGUGCUUCCGAUAUGUGCUACUUAUUGUUGAAACUGUCCUUUUGUACUCUGGUGUGUGGGAUCGUCUGGACCUUUGCCAGAAAUGGUAAAAGGUAUGCGCUGAUUUGCCCGCUUUGUGGGGUCCCGCUUUGUGGGAUAUUCUGGUAUGCGCGAUUUGCCCGCUUUGUGGGGUCCCGCUUUGUGGGGUCCCGCUUUGUGGGAUAUUGCUGACUGAGAUCCCACUACACCCUCUAUAUGUUUGAAUGACAUCCAGAGUUUUGGUGAGUUAUUUAUGUUCGUGCUCUGGAUAGUUAUGAUAUGAUUGCAACGUCAAGGACGACGUUUGAGAUUCUGUACGACAUAUGAGUUUGAUAUGCUCUGAAAUGCUUCAUUCACUGAUGAUAUGCUUCGAAAUGUUCCAUAUGCCGUUGAUAUGCUCCGGAACAUUUCAUAUGCCAUUUAUAUGCUCCAAUUACUCUGUGCUCCAUUUGCUAUGAACUGAUAUGUUCUGAAAUGUCCUAUCUGCCAUUGAUAUGUUCCAAUUACUCUGUGCUCCAUUUGCUAUGAACUGAUAUGUUCUGAAAUGUCCUAUCUGCCAUUGAUAUGUUCCAAGUACUCUGUGCUCCAUUUGCUAUGAACUGAUAUGUUCUGAAAUGUCCAAUCUGCCAUUGAUAUGUUCCAAUUACUCUAUGCCCCAUUCGUUAUGGAUCAAAUAUGUUUUUGAAUGACAUGAUACGUAUGAUUUGGUAUCUAUUGAGAUGGUAUCCUUGAGAAUUCUUGUAUUCUGCCUUGCAUUAUGAUACCUUACUCGUUUGAAACCGUUCCUUUUGUUCUGAAUAUGCUUUGUCACUUGUUGAGCCGUUUUUGGCUCACUCCGUUGUUAUAUAAAUCUUUCAGGUCAGCUUGUCACUCUUCGAGAUGUUUGAUUUGGGCUGAGGCAAUGGAUAGCUAUUCAGAAUAAUGGGCAAGUCUGGUUGGUUAUUACGAUAUUGUUGUAUAAGUAUGUCUUGUAUGUAAUGAAAUGUUGUCGAUGAACCGAAAUGGAUAUACUGUGUCAAAGUGUUAGGAGAUCUCUCUUAUUUGGAAUUUCAGAAUGUUAAGUCUAAUUUAUGAUGAUAUGAACUUGUGGUGAAUAGUUGGAGUUCUGAUUGUAUAAAUUAUUUAGCUUGUGGAUUUAUAAAUGUUGUUUAUGUUUGUCAAGUUGGCUUGGGUUGCCAUAAAUGUGAAUUAUCGAGUGAUGUGAUAUAUGAUUAUAAACUGCACAGGUUUUAUGGAUGUGAAUAUGAAUAGAAUGUUUUCAGUGUCCUCAAACGUUAGUUUGGAUCCUGGAUUGGUCUGUGACGAAAAUUUUAAAAAUCAUGGAUAUUUAGAGGGGCGUGACAGAGGUGGUAUCAGAGCAUUGUUUGAGGAUUACUGAAAUAUUUGAUAUGUUGACGUGCAAAAUAUAUUGAGGUCUAAUGAAACUAUAGUGAUUGGUGGAAAUUUUCUUUGAUGUAUUUUAGGAAUCUAGGAUGACGAUGACAUUUAGUCCUCCUACUUCAUCUGAUUUUGAUUAAUUAAGUGGGAUGAAAGGGGUAAUCGGGGAUAUUGAAUCAGAGUGGCGCAGUGGAAGCAUGGUGGACCUAAUUUCAUUGGUGGUAGAAAAAUGAAUGAUGCAAACAGAGAAGAUAUUUGAUGUACAAAAUUGUUUUGAUGAUCAAAAGAUUUCUUUUGCCACCUUAUAUUGGAAGUAGAGGCUGAUUAUUAUUGGCAACAAUGAAAAGAAUUUUUGGAGAUCAGUGACAAGAAUGAUAAGGACAAGUUUACCAAUAAGAAUAUGAUUGGAAAUGAAUCAGAAAGUAAUGACAAGAGGGUCAAGACAUUUGGAUUUGAAAAGGAAAGUCACCACCAAAGACUUAAUCAUGUGUGAAUUACAAGUUAAAUUAUGAAACAAGUUUGUGUUUUCGGGUGAUUGGAGUCUAUUUUGCUUGUAGAAAGUUGGAUCAUAAAAUAAAAGUUUGCCCUUUGAACAAGAAGAAAGAGUCACUGCCUCCUAAAUCAUUAGCCCAUGUAAGAGUGUAUGCUAUCACUAAAUAUGAUUCUGAAACUUCUGAAUUAGUGGUCAAAGGUAUUAUGCAUGUUUAUGAAAGAAUGCAAAUAUUUGUUUGACCAUGGGUCCCAUCUAUGAUUUGAUUCGGAAUAUUCUGCCUAUCACUUGGGUAUUCAACCUAGACCACUACAUUAUGUGCUAUAUGUAAAUACGAUCAUUGGAGAUUCUUUGAUAACGAACUUGAAUCUGGUCCUCUUGUCUGAUUUUUGUUGGAGAACUUGAACUUUUGCUGAUUUAGUUCUCCUAGAGAUUUGGAGUUAUGAUAUUAUACUUGGUAUGGAUUGGCCAUCUUCUUAUCAUACCAGUAUGGAUUGAUAUAUAACAAAUGAUCACUUUUUGUAUAUUUGAUCAGUCGAUCUUUUACUUUGAGAGUAUGAGACAUGAUUUAUCUCCUUGCCUAAUGUAUCCAGGAUGACUUGCUUGGAUUACCUCCAAAUGUGACUUUGCUUUUGAUUUGGUCAUUGGGAUAAUCCCAAUAUCUAAGCCUCUCUACAGAAAGAUAUCAUUUGAGUAAGUGGAAUUGGAAAAGCAACUACAAGGAUUGUUAAAUGAGGAUUUUAUUUGGCUUAAUAUUUCAUCAUGGGGUGCUCCGGUGUUAGUUAAAAGAAAUGUAUGGAACAUUGAGGCUUUGUAAUGAUUAUAGACAGUUGAAUUAGGUGACCAUCAAAAACGAGUAUUUUCUGAAGUAACGACUUGCUCGAGUAAUUACAGGGUACGCAAGUAUUUUUAGAAAUUGAUUGAAGGUCGGGUUACCGUCUAUUGAGGAUCAAGGAGGAAAAUAUUUCGGUCACUCGUGGAGAAUUAUGUAAUUGUAUUGUAUUGAUGAAACUAUUUAAGAGUAGGAGGAGGAAAUAAAGAUAUCAUAAUCCUCAUCUUUUCAUCGAUUGAGCUAUGAUCAAUUUAGAGGACUAAAUUUUCUUUUAAGGGGGGGGAGAGUGUAAUAUCCCUCGCUUUUAAAAAUUAUUAAUAAAGAUUUAUAUGUAAAUUGGAGGACCUAUAUGUAAAUAUAGAAAUUACAAGGACUAAACUGCUAAGUUGCAAAAAAAAAAAGAAAAAAAAAAGGGAAAACCGAAAAUUCGGUAUUAUCCCACCGCCUCCCACGCACUCUGUUUCUUCCAGAAACAGAGAGAGCGGUGGGGCGUGAGGAGAAGAAGGAGAGUGGUAGAAGAAGAGAGGAAGAAGAGGGAGAAGAGAAGAAGAAGAAGAAGAAGAAGAAGAAGAAGAGGGAAAAGAAGAGAGGAGGAAGAAGAGGGAGUAGAGAAGAAGAAGAAGGAGAAGAAGAAGAAGAGGAGGUGGCUGCAGCGAGGGCUGCAGCGAGAAGCUGUGGGGCGUGGGGAGAAGAAGAGAGGAAGAAGAGGGAGAAGAGAAGAAGAAGAAGAAGAAGAAGAGAAGAGGAUAGCUGCGGCAAGGCUGCAGCGAGGAGGUGUGGGGUUGGGGAGGAAAAGGGAAGAGGAGAAGAAGAGGGAAAAGAGAGGGAAGAGGGAGAGGAGCGAGAGGUGGCAGCAGCUAGGGCUGCAGCACCUCUGUUUCCUGCAGGUGGAAACAGAGGAGAGGUGUGGGGCGUUCGAAGAGGAGAAGAAGAAGAAGAGGAAGAGAAGAGGAAGAGGAAGCAGGGGAAGAGGUUGUGAUACCUCUGUUUCCUGCAGAGGAAACAGAGGAGAGGGUGUGGGUGACGUCGGGGAGAAGAAGGGGAGGAAGGAGAAGAAGAGAAGAAGAAGAAAGGAAGGAAAAGGAAGAGGAGAAGGGAAGAAAGUAGCUGCGGCUGCGGUUGUGGCAGCUGCAGCUGUGGCAGGGAAAGAAGAAGAGAAAGGAAGAAGGGGAGGAGAGGAAGAAGAGUAGGGGCUGCGGCUGCGGCGAUGGCAGCUGCAGUUGGAAGAGAAGAAGGAGAGGAAGAUGAGCAGGGGAGGAAGAAAAGGCUGUGGCCGUGGCUGAGGCUGCGACUGCAGCAUGCAACUGGGAAAGAAGAGAAGGAAAGGAAGAAGAAGAGAAAGGAAGAAGGGAAGGAGAGGAAGAAGAGAAGGGGCUGCGGCUGCGGCGAUGGCAGCUGCAGUUGGAAGAGAAGAAGGAGAGGAAGAUGAGCAGGGGAGGAAGAAAAGGCUGUGGCCGUGGCUGAGGCUGCGACUGCAGCAUGCAACUGGGAAAGAAGAGAAGGAAAGGAAGAAGAAGAGAAAGGAAGAAGGGAAGGAGAGGAAGAAGAGAAGGGGCUACGGCUGCGGCGAUGGCAGCUGCAGUUGGAAGAGAAGAAGGAGAGGAAGAUGAGCAGGGGAGGAAGAAGAGGCUGCGAGUGUGGUGGCUGCGGCCGUGGCUGCGACUCCGGCUGCGGCUGCAACGUUGGCUGCGGUAGCUGCGGCAGCGGUGGUGGCUGCAGUAGCUGCAGUAGCUGCUUUUGGGAAAGAGAAAGAGUAGGAACGAGAGAAGGGAAGAAGGAAAUAGUGCAGUGGAAGGGGGCUGCGGUUGUGACCGCAGUUGCGGUCGUGGCUGCGAUUGUGGCAGCGGCAGCGACGGCGGCUGUGGCAGCUGCGUUUGGGAAAGAAAAAAAGAAGGAAUGAGAGUAAGAGAGAGCAGAUGACUGUGCCUCGAUGUUCGACACGUGAUGUAGUUGCGAAGAAAGGAAGAAAACGGGAGCACAAAACGAAACAGAGAGAGGACACGGAGAAAAAGUAGAAGGAUUUGGGCUGGCACCUUCUUUGGAAUUUCGGAUCGAAAUCAUUGAAAGGUCAGCUUGUCACUCUUCGAGAUGUUUGAUUUGGGCUGAGGCAGUGGAUAGCUAUUCAGAAUAAUGGGCAAGUCUGGUUGGUUAUUACGAUAUUGUUGUAUAAGUAUGUCUUGUAUGUAAUGAAAUGUUGUCGAUGAACCGAAAUGGAUAUACUGUGUCAAAGUGUUAGGAGAUCUCUCUUAUUUGGAAUUUCAGAAUGUUAAGUCUAAUUUAUGGUGAUAUGAACUUGUGGUGAAUAGUUGGAGUUCUGAUUGUAUAAAUUAUUUAGCUUGUGGAUUUAUAAAUGUUGUUUAUGUUUGUCAAGUUGGCUUGGGUUGCCAUAAAUGUGAAUUAUCGAGUGAUGUGAUAUAUGAUUAUAAACUGCACAGGUUUUAUGGAUGUGAAUAUGAAUAGAAUGUUUUCAGUGUCCUCAAACGUUAGUUUGGAUCCUGGAUUGGUCUGUGACGAAAAUUUUAAAAAUCAUGGAUAUUUAGAGGGGCGUGACAUUCUCUAUUCCUCGGGUUGGGCAAUGAUCAUUUGACCUGAUAUCCAGGUACCUUUGCUUAUAUAUCGAUGCACUAAAAGUUAUUUAAGUUCUUCCUCCAUCCCUUUGUCUCGUAGUGCCUUCAAUGGUGGAGAAUUUCUCCUUCUCAAAUGGUAACCAAUUUAUGGUACUAUUCAAUUGCCUUCCGAGGGGUCGACACAAACUCAACUCUAAACUUGUUCCACCCUUAUUUUCUGAGUUUACAAGAGGGUCAGUGGAUUCUUUCUUGUGACUCGGGAGGGAUUCAUAAUGAGGGAUGUCAUGACCUUCAAUUAGAGUUGGAAGGGACAAUACUUUUUCAUCAGCAUCAAUCUAGACUGAGGCAUCGGUUUGAUCAUCGCACACUUUCACCGACAGAGGAGGAGAUAAGUACGAUGCUUUGGCCAGGAGAAAUCCUUUUAUAUUUCUCUAAUAUCAAGCCAAUGGAUGAAGAAGGGUUAAUUGUGGCCAGUUUAGUCUCGCUCCUCGGGCGAUGAACCUCAUGGAUCUCAAGAAAAAGGCAAGGUGAUACCUCCUCGUUCGAGGCGUCGGUUCACCAAUCUCUCGCCGCGCCCAUGGUGCCCCCACCAGAACCCUUCGCACCAGCUCUUCGGGCAACCAAGCCGAAGCCGAAAUCGUAGCUUCCGCAGGGGGCCUCGGCGUCAUCCCCACAAGCUGCUCGUGUCCUCCGGAAGCGAGGGAUCAUCCAGACAAAAAAAGCUGUCUGAGGUCUCAGGGAGCUGACCCCCGAGUCCAAAGGAGCUGGGACGGAAGAUGUAUGCACGUAUGAUCAAAAGGAUUAAAACACGUCCACCCUUGGUUACAUGCAUGCUCGCCAAGUCAUGAGAUGGAUACGUUGUACACCUCCGAGAUUUAUGCAGCACACGAAGAACCACUUCCAUUAACAUUUUUCAGAACAUAAAAUGGAUCAGGUACAUUAAGAUGUCACCGAUAAUUAAACAAAAUUACAGAAAAAUUAAUAUGUUUGUACCUGA